GAAAUGCGAUAAGUAAUGUGAAUUGCAGAAUUCAGUGAAUAAUCGAAUCUUUGAACGCACCUUGCGCUCCUUGGUAUUCCUUGGAGCAUGCCUGUUUGAGUAUCAUGAAAUCUUCAAAGUAAAUCUUUUGUUAACUCAAUUGGUUUCUACUUUGGUAUUGGAGGUCUUUGCAGCUUCACACCUGCUCCUCUUUGUUCAUUAGCUGGAUCUCAGUGUUAUGCUUGGUUCCACUCGGCGUGAUAAGUUAUCUAUCGCUGAGGACACUGUAAAAGGUGGCCAAGGUAAAUGCAGAUGAACCGCUUCUAAUAGUCCAUUGACUUGGACAAUACUUUUAUGAUCUGAUCUCAAAUCAGGUAGGACUACCCGCUGAACUUAAGC
rnacentral:misc_RNA from 1 species